CCCAGAAAAAAUCUAAGGUGCAACCUGCCCAAUGGGUUCUAGUAUACUUAUGAACAAUUAUAAAGAAUCUUAAAGGACGCAGUAAUCUGACUGUGAUAAAGUAGCGUAAUUAUUCGCCAUUUAAUUGAUGGAUAGUAUGAAUGGUUAAACGAAUUCCUCACUGUCUAAGACAGAGAAGUCAUGAAAUUAAAAUAAUAGUUAAGAUGCUAUUUAAAAUUGUAAGACGAAAAGACCCUAUAGAGCUUAACUAUACCUUCUUUUUAAAAAAAGGACCUUUCCUUAAGACAAAGAAGAUGGUAGUUUAGUUGGGGCGACUGCCUUUUAAAAACAACGAAGGUAAGCAAUGUUAAUAAAAAACUUAUUGUACAAUCUAUAAAUUUAACAAUUACUACAGUAGGCCAUAAUGACCCGUUUAUACCAAGUAACAGGAUAAACGCUCAAUAGAUAAAAGUUACCUUAGGGAUAACAGAACAAUCUCGUCUCAGAGGUCUCAUCUAAGACAAGGUUUAUCACCUCUAUGUUGAAUUAAGAUAUCCUGGCUGAGCAAAAGCCGCCAAUGGUAGGUCUGUUCGACCUUUAAAAU
rnacentral:rRNA from 1 species